UACAGAGGGGGCAAGCGUUGUUCGGAAUUACUGGGCGUAAAGGGCGCGUAGGCGGCCUUCUAAGUCAGACGUGAAAUCCCCGGGCUCAACCCGGGAACUGCGUCUGAGACUGGAAGGCUCGAAUCCGGGAGAGGGAUGCGGAAUUCCAGGUGUAGCGGUGAAAUGCGUAGAUAUCUGGAGGAACACCGGUGGCGAAGGCGGCAUCCUGGACCGGAAUUGACGCUGAGGCGCGAAAGCUAGGGGAGCAAACAGG
rnacentral:rRNA from 1 species